AUUGAACGCUGGCGGCAUGCCUUACACAUGCAAGUCGAACGGUAACGGGCCUUCGGGUGCCGACGAGUGGCGAACGGGUGAGUAAUACAUCGGAACGUGCCCGAUCGUGGGGGAUAACGAGGCGAAAGCUUUGCUAAUACCGCAUACGAUCUACGGAUGAAAGCAGGGGACCGCAAGGCCUUGCGCGGACGGAGCGGCCGAUGGCAGAUUAGGUAGUUGGUGGGAUAAAAGCUUACCAAGCCGACGAUCUGUAGCUGGUCUGAGAGGAUGAUCAGCUACACUGGGACUGAGACACGGCCCAGACUCCUACGGGAGGCAGCAGUGGGGAAUUUUGGACAAUGGGCGCAAGCCUGAUCCAGCCAUGCCGCGUGCAGGAUGAAGGCCUUCGGGUUGUAAACUGCUUUUGUACGGAACGAAAAGCCUUCUUUUAAUACAGGAGGGUCAUGACGGUACCGUAAGAAUAAGCACCGGCUAACUACGUG
rnacentral:rRNA from 1 species